GUCUGUUGCUCAGUGGUAAAGCACAUGCUUGGUACGCUAGAUAUCUCAGGUUCAAUCCCUGCCAUUAACA